GGCGCCCGCGUAUGGGGAUGGGGCGCCGCCGCUCUCUCCUCGUCACGUUUUAAUAGUCGGCCAGAGCCUUUACGAUUUCAGUUACUUAGCUUUUUUCAAAUGUAAAUACGGCGAUUUUACCUUUUAUAAGUGGUCCAAAGUUUAAGCUAUAUUUAUAUAUAAUUAUAAUAUUGUCCUAUUGUCAACUCAUAGUCAACUGCAGUAAAAUGUCAACCAUUGUCAACUCAUUUUGACAGUUGUCACAUCAUCUAUUAAAAGGUGCACAUCUGAGAAUACAAAUUCUAGUAUAUAUUUACACAGGUAUUUUGUAAUUAUUUACUGGUCAUAAAUUGGCUCAAAUGGCGGAUUUAAGUCAACUAUAUUGGUCCAUAAAAGAUGUUCGCUCUGUUGUGUGAUGUGACUGACUAUGUCCCGCUCGCACAGUGUCAUUGACAGCCGGCAUCAUGGACGGAACAGCAUACGAUAAAGAUAAGAACAGGUUCGAGUACCGACGGUGGAAAGAUUCCAGCGCGUGCGAAACCGGAGCAGAGAUUGUGAUAUUUAGCUUGAUCCCCUCCCCCUGAACACCUCACGUAAUUAAUGGACGCCCCCUACCGAAAGUGACGAAGCAAGUGGAGUGUGCGCUACGGCCGGACACCUGACGCUGGAAGGGUGGGUUAACAACUGGUAAUUUCACUUUUUCGAUAUUCGUGAGAGAACUAGGUAUGAUAACAUUGUUUACCUAAACAUCUCAACAAAAAUCAUUAAGAUGCCGUAAUCGAUUUUAGUCGCAAAAAUGUAAAACUGAUAGAUUUAGUCGAUGAAUUGUACACCUGUUGUUAACUAUUACUGUAGUUAGCAAUAACAAGUACUGGUUUCUAUUAGCACGUCUUGUUAUUUUUCAUUUCUAUAAAUAUAUUUUUUAAACCAA